AGUAAGGAUUUAAAUGUUACCCCAUCCAACAAAACCUACAUAGAUCUUUCUUGAAGGAAUUUACUUUUGAAGAAAUCAUGGAUGCCUUGUUUGACCCUCAAAGGCUCUUCAUGCCAUACACCGUCCACAUCUAAACCUUUUAUGUCAUUUCUUCUUCUAUGCCAAUUUACCAUUGCAUGGGAAAACUUGGUGUUCUCAUCUCCCUCCCUAUGCCAUUUGAUUCUAGACUUUUCACUACAAAAAAAUAUAUUUCUGACGGAAUAAUUCCCACGGAUAAAAUUCCGUAAAAAAUGUUGCAAUUUCCGACAUAUUUUUUGAAGGAUUUAAUUUUGUCGGAAAGUAUUCAUUUCUGACGGAUUUUACCGAAGGAAUCAAUCCGUCGAAAUGUAAAAUUAUCCCCAAUUAAAAGACCCCCAACCCUAGCCCUCUGUUACUCCCUUUGCGACAUUCGUCUCAUCUCCGCUUCGCGACCCCGAGCCUCAAUCUUCUGCCUGUGACUGUCGUGCCUUUGUAGCGGCUCCAUUCUGCCUCCAUUGUCAGCCCACACAGCCGAUAGGUAAGCCCACCGCGUUUCAGCCCCUUCCUGUCACUAGUCUCAACCCACACAACUCUGGAAAGUUAUUGUCCAACCCUCGGUCUCAUUUGGCGUUAGAGGUUUAAUUUUAUUUUUGUUCCUUGUUUGAUUCAUUCAAAAUGUUGCUUGAAU
rnacentral:lncRNA from 1 species